UCCACGCUGUAAACGAUGGAUGCUAGGUGUAGCGGGUGUAGACCCCUGCUGUGCCAAAGUUAACGCGCUAAGCAUCCCGCCUGGGGACUACGGUCGCAAGACUAAAACUCAAAGGAAUUGACGGGGGCCCGCACAAGCAGCGGAGCGUGUGGUUUAAUUCGAUGAUACGCGAAGAACCUUACCCGGGUUUGACAUAUAGGUGUUAGGGAGGCGAAAGCUGACUGACCCUUCGG
rnacentral:rRNA from 1 species